ACUUGGUGUUGGAUAGGCCUUGGUUGUGCAAAAGUGCUUACAGUGCAGGUAGCUUUUAGUACCUACUGCAAUGUAAGCACUUCUAGCAUUACCAUGGCAAUUCAAUCAAUGAGU